rnacentral:rRNA from 1 species
CCUACGGGAGGCAGCAGUAGGGAAUCUUCGGCAAUGGGGGCAACCCUGACCGAGCAACGCCGCGUGAGUGAAGAAGGUUUUCGGAUCGUAAAGCUCUGUUGUAAGUCAAGAACGGGUGUGAGAGUGGAAAGUUCACACUAUGACGGUAGCUUACCAGAAAGGGACGGCUAACUACGUGCCAGCAGCCGCGGUAAUACGUAGGUCCCGAGCGUUGUCCGGAUUUAUUGGGCGUAAAGCGAGCGCAGGCGGUUUGAUAAGUCUGAAGUUAAAGGCUGUGGCUCAACCAUAGUUCGCUUUGGAAACUGUCAAACUUGAGUGCAGAAGGGGAGAGUGGAAUUCCAUGUGUAGCGGUGAAAUGCGUAGAUAUAUGGAGGAACACCGGUGGCGAAAGCGGCUCUCUGGUCUGUAACUGACGCUGAGGCUCGAAAGCGUGGGGAGCGAACAGGAUUAGAUACCCUGGUAGUCCACGCCGUAAACGAUGAGUGCUAGGUGUUGGAUCCUUUCCGGGAUUCAGUGCCGCNGCUACGCAUUAAGACACCUCCGCCGUCGGGGAGGUAACGGUACCGACCGUUAAGGUUAGUAAACGUUAAAAGUUAAGUAAGUUAGGUUACGGCGUGGAGGACGUUCGCCGAACGGACGACCGACGAGGGGAGGUUAGG